UAGUACAUGUUCUUUGUAUGACACGUACGGAGAGCGAACAAAAAUCAAAGCAAUAGAAGCAGAGGCAGAGCAAAUCGUCAAACAUGGCAAUCGAAAGCAAGCCAUCGAGUAUCGACCCCAGAAGCGGUUUCUGCAACUCCGACUCCAUCUUCUACAGCAAACGCGAGCUCACUCCUCACCCACCCAACCCUUACCUUGACGUGACCACUUUCAUCUCUUCCCAUGCCCACCACGGCGAUAUAGCCUUUCUCGAUGCUUCCACCGGCCGCCAUCUCACCUUCUCAGAUGUCUGGCUCGCCGUCGAUUCUGUCGCCUCCUCUCUCUCCGAUAUGGGCGUCAGGAAAGGUGACGUCAUCCUCCUCCUCUCUCCCAACUCCAUCUUCUUCCCCGUGGUGAGCCUUGCCGUCAUGUCCCUCGGCGCCGUAAUAUCCACCACCAAUCCCAUCAACACCGCCCAAGAAAUCGCCAAGCAGAUUGCCGAUUCGAAACCGAUCAUCGCCUUCACGACUCACCAACUCGUCCCCAAACUCGCCGAAUCGAGUCUCCGAAUUGUAAUCCUCGAUGAGCAUCAGUCCAUCCCCGCCGUUCGAAACGCUAGAAUCGUGGCCACGUUGGAGGAAAUGCUAAACAAGCAGCCAAGAGGGGACGUCCGAGUUAGGGACCGUGUCAACCAGGACGACAUGGCGACUCUGCUCUAUUCGUCGGGUACCACCGGCGCUAGUAAAGGCGUGGUGACUUCGCACAGAAGCCUCAUUGCGAUGGUUCAGAUUAGGUUAGUUCGGUCCAAAGGAAACGAAGGAGAGCAUAGGUUCCUCUGCACCGUCCCCAUGUUUCACGUCUACGGUCUAGCAACGUUCGUGUUGGCCCUACUCGCGUCGGGAACAACGGUGGUGAUCCUCCCGAAAUACGACAUGCACGAUAUGCUCUCAGCGAUCGAGAAGUACCGGAUCACCUCCAUCCCAGUCGUGCCGCCGAUACUGGCGGCUAUGGUGAGCGGCGCGGAUCGGAUACUGUCCAAGUAUGAUUUGAGCUCGCUGCAGCUGGUUUCAAAUGGUGGGGCCCCGACGAGCAAGAAGGUGAUAGAGAAGUUCAUGGAGAGGUAUCCGGCUGUGACGAUUCUUCAGGCGUAUGGGUUGACAGAAUCGACGGCGAUUGGGGCUUACACGAACUCGUUGGAGGAGAGUAAGCGGUACGGUACGGUGGGGUUGUUAUCUCCAGGCAUGGAAGCCAAGAUUGUAAACCCGGAAACCCAGGAUGCUCUGCCCGUGAAUCGGACCGGUGAGCUUUGGAUGAGAGGUCUGCCCGUCAUGAAAGGCUGGUUGGUGUUGCAUGUAGGUUAUUUCCGCAACGCUGAAGCCACGGCAUCAACUCUGGAUUCAGAAGGAUGGUUGAAAACUGGAGAUCUCUGCUACAUUGAUGAUGAUGGCUUCAUUUUCGUGGUUGAUAGGUUGAAGGAACUGAUUAAAUACAAGGGCUACCAGGUCAGAUAUUUAGAAAGAGUUCCCCCAGCAGAACUCGAGGCAUUGCUGGUUGCUCAUCCAGAAAUUUCUGACGCUGCUGUUGUACCUGUAUUGUACGUACGAGUUUCAGAAUUCCUGAUAAGGAGGUUGGACAGUAUCCCAUGGCUUACGUGGUAAAAAAAGCUGGAAGUAAUUUGUCUGACAGUGCCGUCAUGGACUUCGUAACAGCACAGGUGGCUCCAUAUAAGAGAAUCAGGAGAGUGGCAUUUGUAGCUUCUAUACCCAAGAAUGCGUCCGGCAAGAUUCUUAGGAAGAAUCUAAUGCAACUUGCUACCACCUCCAAACUUUGAUUUAUUUUAUUAUUUAUCUUUGCUAAAUAUAUAAUAAUUUAAUUAUAUACCCAUCUAAUU